rnacentral:lncRNA from 1 species
GAAAAGAGCGGGAAAGAGGAAAGAAAAGAGGGAAGAAGGUUCCAGAAGAGAGAGAGAGGGGAGUCAGAGCGGAGAGGAGCGAGAAGGGAAAGAGAAGAAGGCCGCGGACGGUGAACGGUGCGAUCGGUAAGAGGAAGGAAAAUGGAGAUGGGAGGUACGGUAAAAACUUGAGUUGUGUAGGUAUUGUGUGAGUUAUGAUGUGAUUUGCAGGUUGCGGAGGCCAGGUAAUCAGUAAGUUGCUUGACGGAGCUGAGAGGUGGAGUGUAGGACGAAAUGGCGGAGCCGUUCGUGGAGGAGACCGUGGGG